rnacentral:rRNA from 1 species
UGGAAGUAAAAGUCGUAACAAGGUUUCCGUAGGUGAACCUGCGGAAGGAUCAUUACCUAGAGUUGUAGGCUUUGCCUGCUAUCUCUUACCCAUGUCUUUUGAGUACCUUACGUUUCCUCGGUGGGUUCGCCCACCGAUUGGACAAAUUUAAACCCUUUGCAGUUGAAAUCAGCGUCUGAAAAAACUUAAUAGUUACAACUUUCAACAACGGAUCUCUUGGUUCUGGCAUCGAUGAAGAACGCAGCGAAAUGCGAUAAGUAGUGUGAAUUGCAGAAUUCAGUGAAUCAUCGAAUCUUUGAACGCACAUUGCGCCCCUUGGUAUUCCAUGGGGCAUGCCUGUUCGAGCGUCAUUUGUACCUUCAAGCUCUGCUUGGUGUUGGGUGUUUGUCUCCUGUAGACUCGCCUUAAAACAAUUGGCAGCCGGCGUAUUGAUUUCGGAGCGCAGUACAUCUCGCGCUUUGCACUCAUAACGACGACAUCCAAAAGUACAUUUUUACACUCUUGACCUCGGAUCAGGUAGGGAUACCCGCUGAACUUAAGCAUAUCAAUAAGCGGAGGAAG